rnacentral:rRNA from 1 species
UACAGAGGUCUCAAGCGUUAUUCGGAUUCACUGGGCGUAAAGGGUGCGCAGGCGGCCAAGUGUGUGAGGCGUGAAAGCCCGGGGCUUAACCCCGGAAUUGCACCUCAAACUACAUGGCUAGAGCAUUGGAGAGGGUAGCAGAAUUCAUGGUGUAGCAGUGAAAUGCGUAGAUAUCAUGAGGAAUACCAGAGGCGAAGGCGGCUACCUGGACAAUUGCUGACGCUCAGGCACGAAAGCGUGGGGAGCAAAAGGG